rnacentral:rRNA from 1 species
UACGUAGGUGGCAAGCGUUGUCCGGAUUUACUGGGUGUAAAGGGCGUGCAGCCGGGAAGGCAAGUCAGAUGUGAAAUCCGUGGGCUUAACCCACGAACUGCAUUUGAAACUGCUUUUCUUGAGUAUCGGAGAGGUAAUCGGAAUUCCUAGUGUAGCGGUGAAAUGCGUAGAUAUUAGGAAGAACACCAGUGGCGAAGGCGGAUUACUGGACGACAACUGACGGUGAGGCGCGAAAGCGUGGGGAGCAAAC